GCUACUGGAUGGUCUAGGUGUCCCACAAGCUUACCGAAAUCAGCCAUUCUCCGAAUGCCGGUGAGUGAGAGCGCGGCAGUGAGACUGCGGGCGAUAAGGUUCGUAUUCGAGAGGGAAACAGCCCAGAUCGCCAGCUAAGGUCCCUAAGCGUGUACUAAGUGGAAAAGGAUGUGGGGUCGCGAAGACAACCAGGAGGUUGGCUUAGAAGCAGCCACCCUUGAAAGAGUGCGUAAUAGCUCACUGGUCAAGUGAUCCUGC
rnacentral:rRNA from 1 species